GACGAACGCUGGCGGCGUGCUUAACACAUGCAAGUCGAGCGGAAAGGCCCUUCGGGGUACUCGAGCGGCGAACGGGUGAGUAACACGUGAGUAAUCUGCCCUUGGCUUCGGGAUAGCCACCGGAAACGGUGAUUAAUACCGGAUACGACCACUCCUGGCAUCAGGUGGUGGUGGAAAGUGCUUCGGCCAGGGAUGUGCUCGCGGCCUAUCAGCUUGAUGGUGAGGUAAUGGCUCACCAUGGCUUCGACGGGUAGCCGGCCUGAGAGGGUGACCGGUCACACUGGGACUGAGACACGGCCCAGAUUCCUACGGGAGGCAGCAGUGGGGAAUAUUGGACAAUGGGCGGAAGCCUGAUCCAGCAACGCCGCGUGAGGGAUGACGGCCUUCGGGUUGUAAACCUCUUUCAGCAGGGACGAAGCGCAAGUGACGGUACCUGCAGAAGAAGCACCGGCCAACUACGUGCCAGCAGCCGCGGUAACAC
rnacentral:rRNA from 1 species